rnacentral:lncRNA from 1 species
UGCUGGGAUGAGCUUAUGGAAGUUUUGCCUGGGUUGGUCAGUAUAGAUUUGAAUGCACCCGUGCUUCUUCCUGCCUGCUGGGGAGAACCACGUCCUUUCUGCUUCUCUGGCUUGUGGGACUUCCUCCUGGGUGUGCAGGUGAAAGAAGAAACUGAGCUUUGAGGAGCUGCAAACCGAUGUGCUCAUGGGAAAAGGGGAGAGCGGCAGGGAUUUGAAAGCUGUGAGUGUCAUAAGAGACAAUCAUCCUGGGAGAAACGGCUCUUUCUUGGGAGCAAGGAAAGGAACAGAGGAGUGGGAGAUGGAAGAGAAGGGACCGCAGGUACUGCUCUGACCAGCGCGAGGCUGUCUGGGGCUUGUGCUGCAGCUGUGCUUUGGCUCAGAGCUCACUGCUCUGCUCCAGCUCUAAGCCCGGGGUAGCUGCAGUACCCGGCACACUGCAGGCCAGGAAAUGGGGGGGGGGAGGGAGUGUCAUUUUGGUGUUUCAGUAGAUAUUUGGCAGUACGGGAGGAAAUUACAUUGUGAGUUAAGUAUACACCAAUGAAACAACCUGCAAAUUUGCACCAAAGCGCCUGGUUCUCCAUUCUGCAUCCGUGCAGCCACGUUCUAUUGAUGGCCUGUUGUGAUUUCAAUGGAACAUCAUGGGAUGUACCUGGCACGUCGGGCAGCACUGGAUGGAGGUGCCUUUAGCCCAAUGUACCUGGCAUGGUGGUAAAGUGAAGGU